rnacentral:rRNA from 1 species
GUGCCAGCAGCCCGCGGUAAUACGGAGGGUGCGAGCGUUAAUCGGAAUUACUGGGCGUAAAGGCGUACGCACAGGCGGUUUUGUUAAGCGAGAUGUGAAAGCCCCGGGCUCAAACCUGGGAACUGCAUUUCGAACUGGCAAACUAGAGUGUGAUAGAGGGUGGUAGAAUUUCAGGUGUAGCGGUGAAAUGCGUAGAGAUCUGAAGGAAUACCGAUGGCGAAGGCAGCCACCUGGGUCAACACUGACGCUCAUGUACGAAAGCGUGGGGAGCAAACAGGAUUAGAUACCCUGGUAGUCC